GGGGAUUUAGCUCAGCGGCAUAAGCGCCUGCCUUGCAAGCAGGUGGUCGUGAGUUCAAUCCCGG
rnacentral:tRNA from 1 species